GCGCCCGUAGCUCAGCGGAUAGAGCACCGGACUUCUAAUCCGACGGUCGCAGGUUCGAAUCCUGCCGGGCGCGCCG
rnacentral:tRNA from 1 species